GCCUGGGUGGCUCAGUCGGUUGAGCAUCCGACUUCGGCUCAGGUCAUGAUCUCGCGGUCCGUGAGUUCGAGCCUCGCAUCGGGCU
rnacentral:tRNA from 1 species